rnacentral:lncRNA from 1 species
AUGUCAGGAGGCCCCGCCAUCCAGGAGGCCCCCCUCCCUCCACAACUGUCAGAGCUAUGUGGUGCCCCACAGCUCCGGCCUCCCACUCCUGUUCCCUCUCAUCCUUUACGGGGGUUUCUGAAAAAAUGCUCUUGCAUGUGGAAUCUUGCUUUGGCAUCCGGUGUGAGCCACGGCAUCCAGGACACUCAAAGCCCCUCCACACGGCAGCCCCCAUCUGCCCUGCAGACUCCCCUGGCCUUAGCCCUGCACCUGUUUCUCGUUUUACACACAUACAUAAUACACACACAGUACACACACAGACGUGCUCACAUGCAAGUACAUGCACACAUGUACAUACCCACACAUAUGCACACACACGCGCCCACACAUCAUGUGCAUACACAUGCACACAUAUACCCACAUACCUACGCAUGCACACGUGAGGGGGCCAGACACGUGUACACACAUGCACAUGCACACACAUACAUACCCACACAUCCACACAUGCAUGCACACACAAGCACAUACACACACGUACACACCCACACAUCCACACAUGUACAUGCAUACCCGCACAUACACAUGCACACUCACACACAAGCACCCGCACAUACAUACCCACGCAUCCACACAUGUGCGUGCACACACACACAAAGUGCGUGCACACACAUACCCACACACACAGCCAUACACCCUCACACACAACCACAUGCACACACGUACACACAUACCCACACAUCCACACACAUGCACACACACACAAGCACAUGUAUACAGACCCACACAUCCACACGUGCACACACACAAGUACAUGCACAUCCACACACACACGAGGACGUUCACACAUGUACACACAUACCCAGUCUACACACAAGCAUUUGCACACAUGUACACACAUCCACACAUGCACACUCAUAUGCUUAUGGACACGUACACACACUGCCCCACAUCCACACACAUGCACACUCACACACAAGCACAUGCACACACAUACACAUACCCACACAUGUACACACACACAAGCUAAUGCACACAUGUACACAUCCACACAUGUACAUACACAAGCACAUGCACACACACGUGUACAUAGCCACACAUCCACAAGCACACACACACAAGCACAUGCACAUAUGUACACACAUUACCCCACACACACUCACAAACAAGCACAGGCACACAUGCACACACACUGCCACAAAUGCACCCUCACACACACAAUGCAUUCACACAGUACACACACAGACAUCCACUCACACAAGCAUAUGCACAAAUGUACAUAUACUCACACAUGUACACACACAGGCACACACAUCACAAUGA